rnacentral:rRNA from 1 species
UACGUAGGGUGCAAGCGUUGUCCGGAAUCAUUGGGCGUAAAGCGCGCGUAGGUGGCUUCGUAAGUCCGUUGUGAAAGUCAAAGGCUCAACCUUUGAAUGCCGAUGGAUACUGCGAAGCUAGAGUACGGAAGAGGCGAGUGGAAUUCCCGGUGUAGCGGUGAAAUGCGCAGAUAUCGGGAGGAACACCAAUGGCGAAGGCAGCUCGCUGGGACGGUACUGACGCUGAGACGCGAAAGCGUGGGGAGCAAACAGG